rnacentral:rRNA from 1 species
UACGUAGGGUGCAAGCGUUGUCCGGAAUUAUUGGGCGUAAAGAGCUCGUAGGCGGUUUGUCGCGUCUGCUGUGAAAACGCGAGGCUCAACCUCGCGCCUGCAGUGGGUACGGGCAGACUAGAGUGCGGUAGGGGAGAUUGGAAUUCCUGGUGUAGCGGUGGAAUGCGCAGAUAUCAGGAGGAACACCGAUGGCGAAGGCAGAUCUCUGGGCCGUAACUGACACUGAGGCGCGACAGCGUGGGGAGCAAACAGG